GAUACACCAGCCUGGAUCAGGUUACCUCUUUUAUUCUGGAGGAAUUGAGAUCAUCCGGUAAACUCCAUGGGUAUCGGUGGAUGCAUGCAAAGUGCGUUCAAAAUGGUCUGCAUGUAAGGAAGGAACAUGUCCGUCUGAUUUUGCAAGAACUUGACCCACAGGGAGUUGAACUCCGAAGAGCCAGACGUCUGCACCCCCGCAGUUACUUCGCUAAGGGUCCAAAUUAUAUCUGGCAUUUGGAUUCAUACGACAAACUGAAACCCUUCGGAUCUGCAUUAAUGGCUGCAUUGAUGGGUUUUCACGGAAAAUAAUAUGGAUGAACGCAUUUACGACAAGCAGCGAUGCAAAAAUCAUUGGAGGCUAUUACAUAAAUGCAGUCGAGAGUUUGGGUGGCUGUCUGAGGGUUGUCAGAGGUGACCGAGGCACAGAGAACAUCCGGGUUGGAGAGUUUCAGCUUUUUCUGCGUCGGAAUAUUCAUGAUGGCUCUGCUAUUGACAGCUAUAUUGAGGGAGCAAGUACAUCCAAUCUAAGAAUAGAGAGCUGGUGGGGUUUCCUCAGAAAGGAAUCAAUGGAAUACUACAUCUCAAUGCUUAUUGAUCUGAAGGACCGCGGUUUGUUCGAUGGUGCAUAUUUGGACAGAAAUCUGAUCCAGUUUUGCUUCAUUGGAAUAAUCCAGGUAAGCAUGAAUUAUGAAUGUUGUAUUAUGAAUGUCGUAUAUGUUCCCUCGCUAUCCCCCUCACUUUCCGCGGGCCCCUGUUUCAUAUCCCCUCUUUCGUUCCUAAAGUGCAUCAAGUUCUGCACCCUACAGGGUUGCCAGAUUGGUCGGUUUUCCGCACAAUUGCCUGACUUUUAUUUUAAAUUUGCGGACUACAAUUACCAAUUGGGGAUCAGUGGAGUUCAACAAAUUCGAGCGGGUUUGGAGUCGGGUGUAUUCAGACUGGUAAAGUUCAAAGGUUCGGAUAGUGUCCACUUAUUUGUUCCGUGUCGAGUCUUGAAAAUUGCUUUUGCUCUGUUUUCAGACUAGCAUCUACCGGAGAUUUCUGACUGAUCAAACUUUGUAAACAAUUCCAUGUGACUAAAGAUCUCUUCAGUAAUUGUUCAGCAGUUAAGGGGUCAAAACAAAAAGAGAUAGAUUAGGGGGGCUACGGUUUACCAGGAUUUCUCACUCAGUGUAACUUCUUAUUUUGCGGAUCCAUUUUGAUAUGAAGGUCAGAUUUGACAUUGUUUACUGCUGCUUUGAUACGACGUAAGCAGACUUCAGGCUGGUGCUGGGGAUGCUAAGGCUACUCGGACGAGCUGGACAAGACAAUCAGUGUUUGGAAUUCACACAUCAUUCGACCAUCCAAGAAUGACAGAGUGCCAAGUGGUCGACCCAAAGUCAUGUACAUGUUUCCAGAACUCUACUCAACUAACGACUGCGUUUCUCCAGUGGAUGAUGCUGACGUUCAGCUGUGUCACGCCAACUGCACAUUUCGACCAACAGUGCCAUGUGACACAGACAUUUACGACCU